UACGGGGGGGGCAAGCGUUGUUCGGAAUUACUGGGCGUAAAGGGCUCGUAGGCGGCCAACUAAGUCAGACGUGAAAUCCCCAGGCUUAACCUGGGAACUGCGUCUGAUACUGGAUGGCUUGAAUCCGGGAGAGGGAUGCGGAAUUCCAGGUGUAGCGGUGAAAUGCGUAGAUAUCUGGAGGAACACCGGUGGCGAAGGCGGCAUCCUGGACCGGCAUUGACGCUGAGGCGCGAAAGUGUGGGGAGCGAACAGG
rnacentral:rRNA from 1 species